rnacentral:tRNA from 1 species
GUCACUUUGACGGAGUGGUUAACCCGGUGGCCUGCUAAGCCAUUUCCCUUUGGGAUAGUAGGUUUGGGUCCUGCAGGUGACG